GAUGAACGCUGGCGGCGUGCCUAAUACAUGCAAGUCGAGCGAACGGACGAGAAGCUUGCUUUUCUGAUGUUAGCGGCGGACGGGUGAGUAACACGUGGAUAACCUACCUAUAAGACUGGGAUAACUUCGGGAAACCGGAGCUAAUACCGGAUAAUAUUUUGAACCGCAUGGUUCAAAAGUGAAAGACGGUCUUGCUGUCACUUAUAGAUGGAUCCGCGCUGCAUUAGCUAGUUGGUAAGGUAACGGCUUACCAAGGCAACGAUGCAUAGCCGACCUGAGAGGGUGAUCGGCCAGACUGGAACUGAGACACGGUCCAGACUCCUACGGGAGGCAGCAGUAGGGACUCUUCCGCAAUGGGCGAAAGCCUGACGGAGCAACGCCGCGUGAGUGAUGAAGGUCUUCGGAUCGUAAAACUCUGUUAUUAGGGAAGAACAUAUGUGUAAGUAACUGUGCACAUCUUGACGGUACCUAAUCAGAAAGCCACGGCUAACUACGUG
rnacentral:rRNA from 1 species